CCACGCCCCGAUCAAAAACUAAGAAAACAGACAAAGCCCACCCAGAACCCACGCACAUCCACUCCUUUCUCGCACAGCACCGCCCGCCCCUCCCUACCCACGCGCUGCCGCUGCCGGCCGCUAGCCCCUCCCUACCCACGCGCUGCCGCCAUCGGCCGCCCUCCCCUCCCUACCGACGCGCUGCCGCCGCCGGCCGCCCUCCCCUCCCUACCGACGCGCUGCCGCCGCCGGCCGCCCUCCCCCAUACCCACACGCCGCAGCCAGCGCCGGCCGCCCAUCCCUACCCACGCUCCGUCGUUCUCCAUAGCCCAGCCAGCCUCCUCCCCCCGCCGUCACGCACCUCCUGGCCGGAGCUCCCCACUGCACGGCGCGCCGCCGCGCCCUGCGCACCACCACCCAUCCCUCACCGUUGUUGCCCGCCAAGAUCCAAGGCAGGGGAUCUGGCCAGUCUCUCCUGCUCCCUUUGUCAGCCCCCCAAGCUCGUUGCUCGUCGGCCACCAGCUCCAUCCAGGGACCCCCAGAGUUCCUACUGCGACGCCUCAACCUCCUGCUCUUCCAUGGAUUAUUGCCAUCCACCACGCCAUCAGGAACACGAUUGCCCACUCCCUCCGUGAUUGCACAAUAGUUUGGCAAGAAAAUUCACAUCAGUUCAGGGACGCCCGCAUCAUGGCCUCACCGUGCCACCGCAAUCUCUCCUUGAUAACGCCACCGGACGAGUGCCUCCUCACUUAAAAGAUGCAUAGCUACUAGCCAUAGGAACUUAAUUCUUCAAUGGUUGCAAACUGGUAAUGUUCUUCUCCUUAAAAAAUUUCUUUUGAUUUUUCUAUAGGUCUUCCCCUGUGGCUCCUGCCCUUCCUCCGACGUCAUCCACUUUGAAGACACCGACGCACCCCAUCAGGUGGUGGAGCAAGCAUGGGGGAAAAAAGGACUCGCAUCCCGCCGUCGCGCAAGCCCUACUUCCCGCUGGUGGCCAUCUCCACGUAAGUUCGAUCUGGGCACUGCCCUGCUCAUGCAACCCAUUGUCGCCGGCAGCCGCUGCGGUCCCGUGCCUGGCACUCUCUGUGCGCACUGCCCAGGCCAUUCACUGCCUCCACACAAGGCCGUUUGACGACGCAACUCUCAAGCAGAUCACCCUUACCAGCACAAAGCCGUUCACCUCCGCCACAAAGGGAGUUGCUAUUUCUUUUUGCUGAUGCUCAUGCAAAUCUCAUGCUACUUAUGUGCUAAAUUUGAUGCUCUAUAGUUGCUAGUCGAAAUGCCUACGAGAACCAAACUAUUUUGAUAAAAUUUGAUGUUGUUGUUCCUAUAUUCUAGAUGAAUUUUGACCAUACAAUUUUGCUACAGCGGGGGAUGCUUAGUUCAGUUCAAAGACAUUAUCAUGUGAUCAUGGAUGAGAGUCAGAGUCAUCACGCAUCCAAUUUCUUUUGUUCAGUUCAAAAGCUAAAAAUUAUUUCAGUUCAAUUCUUGAUGUCGUCUUCCUGGUUACUUCAAACGUAUUCCUUGCUUUAAUAGUUUUUGCACUUUCCUCCAUUUUCAUGUGACACUUGUUAGAUUGCUCUCAGUAUUUGAUGUAUUUCAUGCAACACUUAUUUGAUUGCUCAAGAGAAGUGUUAUUUAUUAGUGAAUUUUCUUUUAGUGUAGAUGUUCAAUAUGUAUUUAUAUCAACAGCCCGUAAUGAACAGUACAAUCUAUGUGUUAAAACAUAACAGAUCAGUUCAUUGUCAGUACAGGCUCUGAAACUGCUCAGUACAGGUUGGGGAACAUUUUUGGAAUCACAUAUAUAUAGCGGUUGCUUCCAAAUGAAUUUGUCGUUGCUAGUACAUUUUUGGUAGCAGAUGCUUCCAAGUGAAUUGCCGUUACUACUAUCUACGAUGUUGCUGCCAUGUUUUGUUUUUCUUUGAAUUUACUAUGUAACCACUACUCAUGGUAACAUCAAACAACAAAUUUUAUAUGCCUGGCAUGUUUGAUCUGAUUUGACUCCAUGACCGUAGUGCAAAACAAAAAACUACAGUAUCCUUGCUAGCUUGCAGCUGUAAUUUUGAUUGCACAGCAGUUUAAUUGCAUCGCCAUCUCCUGGUGGGGCUUUGCUGCCGGAGCACCCUGGCCGUUCACAGCCACCACUCCAGGCCAUUCAACGCCACCACCCCUGGCCGUUCAUUGCCAGCAGCACCCUGGAUCCCACCCCUCACCCUAGUUGUUUCAGUUAUCGAGUGAGUUUCAGUCCAACUUGAGCUCCUUGAGAUGAUCAUAUAAUUAACUUCAAAAUUAUUACAUGGUCCAUGUAUUUUACAGAAAGUCCAUGUAGUACUACAUGGGAAGUACAAAAAUUACUUCUAGUGAGAGUUCAUUUAAAUCUACAGGGUCCAGUCCCAUAUAUCUUUUAACCAGGUUCAUGGUGAAGCCCAGGGUGCUCGUCGGCGUUCACAAGAAGCAGGCCAUCGAGAAGGAGCUGGGCGACAUGGUGCAGCGGUGUGGCCAGUUCAACCACCUAGCUAAUAGAUCAUGAUUUUCUCUCUUUUGCCUAUGUCUCUUAGUGUGUUACCCCUUCCUCUUUUCAUAUAGCGUAUUCUGAACAUCAGAUGCUUUAAAAAAUGUGUCGCGCAAGUUCAAGUAUAGCUGCCGCAGGAGUUCAAAAAUCUGAACAGUUUAAGCUCAACCCAAUUUCAAGAACUGUUUCCUUUAUAAAUUGUUUGAAGUUUGUGAUUUUGGCUCAUGGCAGGAGCUCGUUGACGAUGAAGGAUGUGAAGCUUCACCACCAUUCACAACUCCAGUAUGGUCCAGUUCGUCAUGAGGAUUUGGAGCUUCAACUUUUCCAGUUCAUCUUUCAUAUGCUUUUUAGUACAUCUACUUCCUCAUUAUGGAAGAAGGAAAUCAGUCCAACAGGUGCAUCUAAAGUGACAUGUCGUGCACCACCCACUCGUCCUCAAGCUGCUCGUCGUGUCAUGCCGGCUUGCCAUCAACCACAGUUGUGGCUCAACUCCCACGGUGCUUCCACGACCACCACACGCAGCCUCCCUCUAUUGUUGCCCUCACCAUGCUCUCCUGCGUAUUGGCGGCCUCAACGAGCUGACUAUGGUUGCCGCUCCUGCGUGCUGCAGUACGCCGUCGAGCUGGUCACCAUUUAUAUUUUUGUUUUAAGUUCAUUUGUGUUCUUGUUGUCAGGUCGCCUACAAAUUUGUUAUCGUUGUUAGUUCAUGUGUGUUCUUGUUGUUA